rnacentral:rRNA from 1 species
UACGUAGGGAGCAAGCGUUGUUCGGAUUUACUGGGCGUAAAGGGCGCGUAGGCGGCGCGGUAAGUCACUUGUGAAAAUCUCUGAGCUUAACUCAGAACGGCCAAGUGAUACUGCAGUGCUAGAGUGCAGAAAGGGCAAUCGGAAAUUCUUGGUGUAGCGGUGAAAUGCGUAGAUAUCAAGAGGAACACCUGAGGCGAAGGCGGGUUGCUAGGCUGACACUGACGCUGAGGCGCGAAAGCCAGGGGGAGCAAACGGG